UACGGAGGGUGCAAGCGUUAUCCGGAUUCACUGGGUUUAAAGGGUGCGUAGGUGGGCAAGUAAGUCAGUGGUGAAAUCUCCGGGCUUAACCCCGGAAACUGCCAUUGAUACUAUUUGUCUUGAAUACUGUGGAGGUCAGCGGAAUAUGUCAUGUAGCGGUGAAAUGCUUAGAUAUGACAUAGAACACCAAUUGCGAAGGCAGCUGGCUACACAAAUAUUGACACUGAGGCAC
rnacentral:rRNA from 1 species